GAUGAACGCUGGCGGCGUGCUUAACACAUGCAAGUCGAACGGGAAACCUUUUAUUGAAGCUUCGGCAGAUUUAGCUGGUUUCUAGUGGCGGACGGGUGAGUAACGCGUGGGUAACCUGCCUUAUACAGGGGGAUAACAGUCAGAAAUGGCUGCUAAUACCGCAUAAGCGCACAGAGCUGCAUGGCUCAGUGUGAAAAACUCCGGUGGUAUAAGAUGGACCCGCGUUGGAUUAGCUGGUUGGUGGGGUAACGGCCCACCAAGGCGACGAUCCAUAGCCGGCCUGAGAGGGUGAACGGCCACAUUGGGACUGAGACACGGCCCAGACUCCUACGGGAGGCAGCAGUGGGGAAUAUUGCACAAUGGGGGAAACCCUGAUGCAGCGACGCCGCGUGAAGGAAGAAGUAUCUCGGUAUGUAAACUUCUAUCAGCAGGGAAGAUAAUGACGGUACCUGACUAAGAAGCCCCGGCUAACUACGU
rnacentral:rRNA from 1 species